rnacentral:lncRNA from 1 species
GACCUGGCAUGAAGAAAGAGGCAAUUCAAUUCUCACAACCCAAGAACAUAAUUUACCCCAUGACAAAAAAAAACAUAAUUUACCCAAAAAGUAAAGUUGAAUGUUGCCAAGUUCAUCUUCAAACUUUUUAAAUUAUAUACCAGGUCCAAAAAAAAAAAACUUUUUAAAUUAUAUGAAUCAUCUACUGAAAUCUACCUCUGAGUAUGAGAAAAACAGAUGUAGUUAUAGUGACAAAAUCGACAUUGACAAGUAAUAAGACACUGAUGCACACACUUAUUGGACAAAUUACAGGACAGCUCUCAUCAAUUUUAGAUAAUAAGGGUAUGCCGAAGGGUCUUGUCCCAACUUCCAAUGUUGAAACAGGUUGAAGAGCAGGUGCCGGUGCCAGAGCAGGCUCAUCUUCAUCCUCCCAUGAUUCCUUUACAUCAUUUUCAUCCACAUCUUCAUCAUCCCAUUUACUUUUAGUCACUUCCUUUUUGUUAAGGUCAAUAGGUGCAAUUUGCUCAUCCUCCCAAUCGUCCAUUUUGCUGUGUGCACUUCUUUGACAAAAUAGAAUAGCAAAAUAGCAGCUGAUCAAUUGGUGAGCUACGACCGCAGAAGCGUUGAUCGGAGAGGGUGAUGAUGUGAAAGAGAGAGAAAGCGAGAUUAGGGCACAAUUGGUUUUGAGUGUGUUUUGGGAAUUUGUGUAAACUACUCUUCCACCUUAGUAUAUAUAUAGAGCAUUGAUCUAAGAAAGAUAAAAGCAAAUAAAAAUAAGAUAAG